GAGACAGAAUGGCUAAAUGUGCUCUGAGCAUGCCUCAUCGGCUUCUGCAACUACCUCGAGUUUUGCAGCCAGAAAAAAACCUCCCAACCUUAUGGCUGACAUUAGAAUUUGCUAUGCCUGAUGAGUAAUAAAGAGCCUUUCUCAGAAGAAGAAAGGGUUCUGGGCUGUUCUCAGCAUGGGGAAGUUUGAAUUCAGAGGUUUUGGGAGUGCAAAUAAGGGGAACUGCAUUUAAGGGCUUCUGUUCCACAGGAUACAAUAUUUGAAGGUUGAGUACCUGAUAACAUCACAGGGUAGAAGACACACAGAGAGUUUCCGUGACCUUAUCCCCUGUGUGAUCUUGUCCAGUGUGACGG